CUCUCACUGAGCCUUGUCAAAAGUGAGCUCCACUCAAGUGAAAAAUGCAGUAAACUUGUGCUUUAUAUCAAUCAUUCAUAUUUUCAUAUUCAAUAAAUGAAAUCUUCACGCUCCCUGCACUCUUCCUCAUGCCACUGGUAUGUAAAAUCCAAAACUUACUCAUCUUCAGUCCCAGAAGAAUGACUGAAGGCAGUUAUUUUUAUCUUCCUCCAUCUCCUUUGUUAAAAAGGAAGACUUUACAUAAAAUACAAAAAUAAAGCAAAAUUCAGAAAUUGUGAAUCAACAGGUAUAGAAGGUAUCACUGAGGCUACAGAAAGGUGCAAAAGGUAAAGUUUUUUUAUUACUUUGGACAGGGACAGAGGAGUGUGGCAGAAAUAAUAGAACAGUGAUUUGGGUUGUCUGGCUGGAAAUGUGCAACAUCUUUCUCUUUCUCAGACCUGGUGGAAUUCACGAGAAUGUCACAAAGCUUGACUGAAUAGUGAGAAAACAUUUAUGCCUGGAAAUGAAUGGAAAAGUCAGUCACCCCCAGUCGUACACUGAAAACCUGACAGCAGACAAAGAGCAGGCUCUGGGCAACCCGAGGCAAGAGCUUAUGCCAAUGAAUUCACCAGGAGGGAUUACAGAUGUGUCACUGUGUACACUCAACCCUCUUUCAGACACUGCAAUAAGGUGGUAGGUGUGUAUUCCCUCACCAUGUGGUCCUGGAAAGCAUUUUAUUCUGCUCCACCAAAUUGAAUGGAAGAGUCUACUAUCUUCAAGUACUUGUGGUGACUUGGCUGUUGGCACUUGCUGCACUUUUUAUCAAGGGCUUUCUAAGCUGCUCCUGCAUAUUUGAGAUGAUUCUUCAAAGACUGCUUCAAUGGGCCUGUUUUUUUGAGGACUGUUAAGAACUCUAAGGCUGAAACAGCACAUCAGCUCUCUCAGGCACCUGAGACUGCAGCAACAUGUGUCUUGCACAGGAGAGCCAGGAGUGUAUCUAUUUGGACUGUAGCUGUUUCUCAACAACCACCAGAAAACACAAGGCAAAAGACAACUAGCUUCAGUAAGAAAGCAAUCAAUUGAUGACCCUUCUUGCCAAAGACCUGUCUCCCCAUGAUAGCAGAGAGCUUUCUGAAUGCAUAGACAGGAUCUUUACAGAAAUGGCUUGCAUAAGGUCACAGAAGAGCUAUUUUUGAAACAAAGUUCCCAAACCUGCAGCAUUGCCAGACUGACAGGGAGGGAAAAUUUUCCCCCCGACUUGCAGUGAGAAGGCCGAAGGCAGGUAUUGGGGAGCCUGGUCUGCCUGACUCACUUGUUGGCAGCGACAAUUUCCAGCAAGCCCCAAACAUUUGUGAGAAGCUGUGUGACCCCUGGAGGUCCCUGCAGGUGAUCAGGGCAGGCAGAACUCCCGUGGUCCCCAAGGGAAGCGGAGCGCGGUGCCGGCACGUUUCGGCACGCAGGAGCCAACACUGACCCCGCACCAGGCUGGCUGAGGAGGAGGGAGCACGGCUCUCCAGCAGGCAGGAAGGUAGGCAGGCAGGGCUGGAACACAGUGUGUUCCAGUAAUUUGGGAUGACAGGGGAGACAUUGCAGGUUAUUGUAUCUAGCAUACAUUGGAGCUUUGUUUUGUCUAACUCGAGCGAUAUUCUGG
rnacentral:lncRNA from 1 species